AUGAGGUAUAGUAUGGUAGGGUUAUGAGGUAUAGUAUGGUAGGGUUAUGAGGUAUAGUAUGGUAGCGUUAUGAGGUAUAGUAUGGUAGGGUUAUGAGGUAUGGUAGGGUUAUGAGGUAUAGUAUGGUAGGGUUAUGAGGUAUAGUAUGGUAGGGUUAUGAGGUAUAGUAUGCUAGGGUUAUGAGGUAUAGUAUGGUAGGGUUAUGAGGUAUGGUAGGGUUAUGAGGUAUGGUAGGGUUAUGAGGUAUAGUAUGGUAGGGUUAUGAGGUAUAGUAUGGUAGGGUUAUGAGGUAUAGUAUGGUUAUGAGGUAUAGUAUGGUAGGGUUAUGACAUAUGGUAGGGUUAUGAGGUAUAGUAUGGUAGGGUUACGAGGUAUAUUAUGGUAAGGUUAUGAGGUAUAGUAUGGUAGGGUUAUGAGGUAUAGUAUGGUAGGGUUAUGAGGUAUAGUAUGGUAGGGUUAUGAUGUGUAGUAUGGUAGGGUUAUGAGGUAUAUUAUGGUAGGGUUAUGAGGUAUAGUAUGGUAGGGUUAUGAGGUAUGGUAGGGUUAUGAGGUAUAGUAUGUUAGGGUUAUGAGGUAUAGUAUGGUAGGGUUGUGAGGUAUUGAAGGGUUAUGAUGUAUAGUAUGGUAGGGUUAUCAGGUAUAUUAUGGUAGGGUUAUGAGGUAUAGUAUGGUAGGGUUAUGAGGUGUAGUAUGGUAGGGUUAUGAGGUAUAGUAUGGUAGGGUUUUGAGGUAUGGUAGGGUUAUGAGGUAUAGUAUGGUAGGGUUAUGAGGUAUAGUAUGGUAGGGUUAUGAGGUAUAGUAUGGUAGGGUUAUGAGGUGUAGUAUGGUAGGGUUAUGAGGUAUAGUAUGGUAGGGUUAUGAGGUAUAGUAUGGUAGGGUUGUGAGGUAUGGUAGGGUUAUGAGGUAUAGUAUGGUAGGGUUAUGAGGUAUAGUAGGGUUAUGAGGUAUGGUAGGGUUAUGAGGUAUAGUAUGGUAGGAUUAUGAGGUAUAGUAUGGUAGGAUUAUGAGGUAUGGUAGGGUUAUGAGGUAUGGUAGGGUUAUGAGGUAUGGUAGGGUUAUGAGGUAUAGUAUGGUAGGGUUAUGAGGUACAGUAUGGUAUGGUUAUGAGGUAUAGUAUGGUAGGGUUAUGAGGUAUGGUAGGGUUAUGAGGUAUAGUAUGGUAGGGUUAUGAGGUAUAGUAUGGUAGGGUUAUGAGGUGUGGUAGGGUUAUGAGGUAUGGUAGGGUUAUGAGGUAUAGUAUGUUAGGGUUAUGAUGUAUAGUAUGGUAGGAUUAUGAGGUAUGGUAGGGUUAUGAGGUAUGGUAGGGUUAUGAGGUAUAGUAUGGUAUGGUUAUGAGGUAUAGUAUGGUAGGGUUAUGGCGUACGGUAGGGUUAUGAUGUAUAGUAUGGUAGGGUUAUGAGGUAUAGUAUGGUAGGGUUAUGAGGUAUGGUAGGGUUAUGAGGUAUAGUAUGGUAGGGUUAUGAGGUAUAGUAUGGUAGGGUUAUGAGGUAUAGUAUGCUAGGGUUAUGAGGUGAGGUAUGGUAGGGUUAUGAGGUAUGGUAGGGUUAUGAGGUAUAGUUUGGUAUGGUUAUGAGGUAUAGUAUGGUAGGGUUAUGACGUAUGGUAGGGUUAUGAGGUAUAGUAUGUUAGGGUUAUGAGGUGUAGUAUGGUAGGGUUAUGAGGUAUAGUAUGGUAGGGUUAUGAGGUAUGGUAGGGUUAUGAGGUAUGGUGG